CUCGGCAGGCUUGAUGGGCGGAUGAACAAUUCUAUAAGCUUUUUAAUUUUAGUCAGCGUCUGAAAAAACUUAAAAAUUACAACUUUCAACAACGGAUCUCUUGGUUCUGGCAUCGAUGAAGAACGCAGCGAAAUGCGAUAAGUAGUGUGAAUUGCAGAAUUCAGUGAAUCAUCGAAUCUUUGAACGCACAUUGCGCCCCUUGGUAUUCCAUGGGGCAUGCCUGUUCGAGCGUCAUUUGUACCUUCAAGCUUUGCUUGGUGUUGGGUGUUUGUCCUCUCCCUGGUGUUUGGACUCGCCUUAAACAAUUGGCAGCCAGUGUUUUGGUAUUGAAGCGCAGCAAAGUCGCGAUUCUGACCUAGCAACACUUGCAUCCACAAGUCUUUUAACUUUGACCUCGGAUCAGGAGGGAUCCCGCUGACUCAGCAUAUCAUAGCCGGAG
rnacentral:rRNA from 1 species